UUUGAAGUCCUGUAUGAAUGUUUAGCUGAUGAACUGAAAUAGGAAUCAAACUCAUUAACGUAUCUCUGCUAUCAGGUGACUAUUAUUUGAGAGUCUUGUUGGAACAAAACGACGAGGAGACGCCGAUAACAAAUGUGCUCGAGUUGUCUAACGAUCUGUAUCACUGAUUCCUAUUGACAACUAAACCAACUAUGAAAGCA